rnacentral:pre_miRNA from 1 species
CUGUCAAGCUGAUUAAGUAUUGAUGCAACACGAUGAAUACUUAUUCAGCUUCUGACAGUU